rnacentral:rRNA from 1 species
AUGCAAGUCGAAACGGAAAUAAAGGAGCUUGCUCCUUUUGAUUAGUGGCGAACGGGUGAGUAACACGUGGGCAACCUGCCCCUGACUCUGGGAUAACUAUUCGAAAGAGUAGCUAAUACCGGAUAUGAAACCUGGAGGACAUCUUCAGGUUUGGAAAGUUUUUCGGUCAGGGAUGGGCCCCGCGGCCUAUCAGCUAGUUGGUGAGGUAGUGGCUCACCAAGGCGACGACGGGUAGCCGGCCUGAGAGGGCGACCGGCCACACUGGGACUGAGACACGGCCCCAGACUCC